rnacentral:rRNA from 1 species
AAACCAACAGGGAUUGCCUCAGUAACGGCGAGUGAAGCGGCAAGAGCUCAAAUUUGAAAUCUGGCCCCUUUGGGGUCCGAGUUGUAAUUUGGAGAGGAUGCUUCGGGCGUGGCCCCCAUCUAAGUGCCCUGGAACGGGCCGUCAUAGAGGGUGAGAAUCCCGUCUGGGAUGGGUGGCCCCGCCCGUGUGAAGCUCCCUCGAAGAGUCGAGUUGUUUGGGAAUGCAGCUCUAAGAGGGUGGUAAAUUUCAUCUAAAGCUAAAUAUUGGCCGGAGACCGAUAGCGCACAAGUAGAGUGAUCGAAAGAUGAAAAGCACUUUGAAAAGAGAGUUAAACAGCACGUGAAAUUGUUGAAAGGGAAGCGUUGUCCCCCAGACUCGCCCGAAGGGUUCAGCCGGCACUUGUGCCGGUGCACUCCCUCUCGGGCGGGCCAGCGUCGGUUUGGGCGGCCGGUCAAAGGCCCCGGGAAUGUAACUCCCCUCGGGGAGCCUUAUAGCCCAGGGUGCCAUGCGACCUGCCUGGACCGAGGAACGCGCUUCGGCUCGGACGCUGGCGUAAUGGGGGUCAACGGC